AGGAAUCUUAUGCACCUUUAAUGGUGUGCAUACAGUAUAUCAGGACGCUUUUCAAUUAAUAACAGAAGAUCUAUUCCAGGCAUUAAAAUAGUGUGUCCUUGUACACACUUUGUGUCGUUGUAAAAGGCGAAUGUGCCCUUGUAAAUUGAAAAGUGUGUACUUGAAAAUAUAUUAAACAGAAAAUAUAUUAAUGUAAUCCACGCAAAAUGGCAAAAAUUUUUCCAAAUUCUGUUCUCAGAACACUGGAAAUGCCAUUUCAGAGACCCCGGUUAAAAUCUCGCGUCUUGUCUUCGACGCUAAACUUGUGGCUUCGCCACCCAUUUUUGUGAGUCUGCGCAUUUAUACCGAAAAUACUCCUCUGAAGGCAAAGUGUGUCCUUGUAAAAAUUCCGUAUUUUAAUGCCUGAUGUAUUCAUCACAAUUUUGGACACAUGAGCUAACACCUGCUAUCCUGGAAUGAACGGUGAAUGUACUGUAUCCCCAGUGAAAAGAAUAAAUGACUUUGUUACUCACGUUACAUGUAAUAAUGUAAUACCUUCUUAUAUUAAAAUAUCGAACUUUUGAGGGUAAUGCCAAUGCUAAGACUAUUUAAGCUACUAUUUUUUAAGAUUAGUAUAAUAUUUUUAUUAUCAAGAUAAAUUGUCUAGUCGAGACCUCGAACUGUUGUAGUCUAGUUAUUG